rnacentral:tRNA from 1 species
GCCUGGGUGGCUCAGUCAGUUGAGCUUCCGACUUCAGCUCAGGUCAUGAUCUUGCGGUCCGUGGGUUCGAGCCCCACAUCGGGCU